GACGAACGCUGGCGGCGUGCCUAAUACAUGCAAGUCGAGCGAAGUUUUUCUGGUGCUUGCACUAGAAAAACUUAGCGGCGAACGGGUGAGUAACACGUAAAGAACCUGCCUCAUAGACUGGGACAACUAUUGGAAACGAUAGCUAAUACCGGAUAACAGUAUUUCUCGCAUGAGAGAUAUUUAAAAGUUGGUUAUGCUAACACUAUGAGAUGGCUUUGCGGUGCAUUAGCUAGUUGGUGGGGUAAAGGCCCACCAAGGCGACGAUGCAUAGCCGACCUGAGAGGGUGAUCGGCCACACUGGGACUGAGACACGGCCAGACUCCUACGGGAGGCAGCAGUAGGGAAUCUUCCGCAAUGGGCGAAAGCCUGACGGAGCAACGCCGCGUGAGUGAAGAAGGAUUUCGGUUCGUAAAGCUCUGUUGUUAGGGAAGAAUGGAUAUGUAGUAACGAGACAUGUAAGAGACGGUACCUAACCAGAAAGCCACGGCUAACUACGUG
rnacentral:rRNA from 1 species